UACGGAGGGUGCGAGCGUUGUCCGGAAUCACUGGGCGUAAAGGGCGCGUAGGCGGCGCGAGCAGUCGAUCGUGAAAGUCCGGAGCUCAACUCCGGAUCGGCGGUCGAUACUCUCGUGCUUGAGCACUGUAGAGGCAGAUGGAAUUCCGGGUGUAGCGGUGGAAUGCGUAGAGAUCCGGAAGAACACCGGUGGCGAAGGCGGCUCACUGGUCCAUUACUGACGCUGAGGUGCGAAAGCGUGGGGAGCAAACAGG
rnacentral:rRNA from 1 species